rnacentral:rRNA from 1 species
AGAGUUUGAUCCUGGCUCAGGAUGAACGCUAGCUACAGGCUUAACACAUGCAAGUCGAGGGGAAACGACAUCGAAAGCUUGCUUUUGAUGGGCGUCGACCGGCGCACGGGUGAGUAACGCGUAUCCAACCUGCCCACCACUUGGGGAUAACCUUGCGAAAGUAAGACUAAUACCCAAUGAUAUCUCUAGAAGACAUCUGAAAGAGAUUAAAAGAUUUAUCGGUGAUGGAUGGGGAUGCGUCUGAUUAGCUUGUUGGCGGGGUAACGGCCACCGAAGGCGACGAUCAGUAGGGGUUCUGAGAGGAAGGUCCCCCAGAUUCGGAACUGAGACACGGUCCAAACUCCUACGGGAGCA